rnacentral:rRNA from 1 species
AUUGAACGCUGGCGGCAUGCUUUACACAUGCAAGUCGAACGGUAACAGGUUAAGCUGACGAGUGGCGAACGGGUGAGUAAUGCAUCGGAACGUGCCCGGUCGUGGGGGAUAACGCAGCGAAAGCUGCGCUAAUACCGCAUACGAUCUGAGGAUGAAAGCGGGGGACCGUAAGGCCUCGCGCGAUCGGAGCGGCCGAUGUCAGAUUAGGUAGUUGGUGGGGUAAAGGCUCACCAAGCCAACGAUCUGUAGCUGGUCUGAGAGGACGACCAGCCACACUGGGAAUGAGACACGGCCCAGACUCCUACGUGAGGCAGCAGUGGGGAAUUUUGGACAAUGGGCGAAAGCCUGAUCCAGCGAUGCCGCGUGCAGGAAGAAGGCCUUCGGGUUGUAAACUGCUUUUGUACGGAGCGAAAAGGUCUCCUCUAAUACAGGGGGCUCAUGACGGUACCGUAAGAAUAAGCACCGGCUAACUACGUGCCAGCCGCCGCGGUAA